GUUUCCACACACAAAUCGUCUUAUUGAAGGAAAUAUGAACAAACAACAACAACAACAAUCGUCUCAUUUUUCUCUGAGAAUCGUUCAACCCUAACUUUCGUUUGAUUCUGAGAUCAGAAUUGUUCAAUUGAGUUUAAGUUCAACACUAAGUUUCGUUUGAUUCUGAGAGAAUCGUUCAACUUCAGUUCAACUUCGAUUCAGAAUCGUUAAUCAUCCCUCAAGGUUCAGAAUCUUUCAAUUGAAUUUCAGUUCUCUCAAGCUUCGAUUCAGCAAAUUCUUCUCAGCUUCUCAAGCUUCGAUUCAGUUUCUCAGCAAAGCUUCAAUUCAUAACCUCUCAAGCUUCAAUUUAGUUAUGUUCAUCGUUCAACUUCAGCUUCAAUUUAUAAUUUUGUUAAUUUUUUUCUAGUUAUUUUUCCAAUGUUCCCUAUAAAUUGGUAAUUAGGUAAUUGGAAAUUUGUCCUAUGAAGCAUUGAUUUGUUGAUUGGUUUAUAUGGUUCAUAUGAAGCAUUAUAAGUAUGGUUCAUAUGAAGCAUUAUAAGUAUGGUUUAUGUGAAGCAUUAUAAUGAGCAUAUGAAAUGCUUCAUGUUUGGAUAGCAUUAAAACUCUUGACUUAAUCAAUUGUUGCGAAAUCCUGAACAAAUUUUUGUGAAAUUGUUGUUAUGAUAGGUUGAAGAAGUUGUGAAGAUGAUGGAAAUUGAGUUGGGAAGUGGAUGGAUAGCUCAUCAGCACUGUAAGGGCAGGAAGGUUCAAUCGGUACUGCUGUUACUUGGCGGCCGUGAAAUACCUCCAACAGUACCUUCCAUGCCACUGACGAAAAUAACCGGGAUGCUAACAAAUACUCUAACUAGCGGACAAUUAAUUUUGUGGCACGAUAUCUUGAAGAUUGGGGGAGAAGACAACGAUGAUGGAUGGUUUAUUGAUAAUGUGUGUAAUGUUCUUGGCGUUGGCACCAUAGAUGGUUGGGUCCAGUUUGGUUAUAGAAUCUUGAUCCUAGUUUGUUUAGCAAAGCUGCAAACCCAGGGGCCUCUCAGAGGCUGAUGAGAAUUGGAAUUGGCAGACGUCUUGCUGCCAGGAGAGAGGGAAACUGCCACCGAAAAGUUGAGCAUUCUGUCAGAGUUCAAACCUAGUUUAUAUAAGUAUAGUCAUGAUAUCCACAUACAUAAUGUCAUUGUCCAAAGAUACCAUUUUAUUAUAGACCUUCAACUCUAGUUAGUACUAUAAAGAAAGAUAUUUAGUCAAUAUGUGUUAUUAGUAUACAUUUUUAUAAAUUUGGUACUAUGCUAUCAGAGUGUUCUGUUUUUCCCACUCAAUCAAUAGUUUUUUUCUCUAGAUAUUAUGCUUUGUCAACCAUAAUCAAGAAUUUAAUGGAGGACAAAACUAGUUAACAACCUGUUGCCAAUUUGUUUUGAAAAAUUUAAUUAAUCCAUUGUCUUAAUUUA